rnacentral:lncRNA from 1 species
AAUUAGAUCUUCAAAUUUACUCAGCUGAAUUUUGUUUUUUAACACAGUCAAAUGCUGGUGUAUGUUUUUCUUAUAUCUCCUUCGGCAGCCAGCAUUGUGUGCUAAAGUAGAGUAAGCCAGCUAUAAACACUGGUCAAAUAAAAGCACAAAUUAGUGUUUUCCUACUACCCUCUUUUUUCACAUAAUUUCCUUGCCUUCUACUUUACCCUUCAUGACAAGACUCAAUGUCUAUGUAUAAUGUGUCUUGAAGUUUUUAGAAAGAUAGCUGUAAAAAUCUAGUAAAUGAGUAAUAGUGAUAAUACCUGAAGAAUUCUAUCCAUUGAAGAUUCCGUUAAUUUGGACUUAAGCCUGCUAUAGCGCAUUGACAAUCGGUUUCAAAAAGUGAAGUGCAGUGGAAGGAGAACAAGAUUACAAAUCAGGGGGUCUAAUCCUCUUCCCGUGUGCCCCUAACUUGCUCGGUGACCUUGGACAGACGCUUAUCUUCUUUAUGCCUCCAGCCUCCUUCUGUAAAGGGAUGAGCUGUAGCCAAUGUCCUCUUCCUGGUAAUGGACAGAGCCGGGGCCACUGUCCGGAGAGGAGAUAGAAUCCUGUCAGAACAGCUUUUCUUUACCACUUCUGGAUCUGCUCCGGAGUUAGAAGGCUGGCGUCUCCAUCAUUCAAUAUUUCACCCCAGCACCAAACCGACAUGGAUACUUUUGAUAUCAUUCAAGGUGCCUCUAAAGAAGGAUACAGUCUGGGAUCAGUUUAAAUGGAAUCCAUCUGAAAGAACCAGAAGGAAUGAUGGUUUCAGACAUGGAGAAUGUUCUGCUUCUAUUUUAGCAAUAAAUUUGACCUUUGUUUUUCUGGCAGCCGAGGCAUAAGGAGUAACAUGAAUGGACUAUUUAUACUUGCUGGACAAAUAGUAGGCUCAAUAAAUAUUUUUUCAUUGACUCUCAACCACCCCUUAGUUGGGAAGGCAAAAUACUGAUAGAGAAGUCCCAGAAGAAUGGAGCACAGGGUGGGUGGCUAGAAAGGUUUUUGGUGAAGGGAGAAUCCUAAAACAAGCUUCAAACUCCCCUGUCUCAACCCGUUGCCAAGGCUAGGCCAUUCUGAGAAAUUCCCAUGAUACAUGCAGGCCACCAGCAUGGCUCCAGGAGGUGAGGCAUGCCCAGUCGUUCCCUGUAGCAGUUCCAUUCCAGGAUGGAAGGUCCAUCUUGAUCUGUAGGCCAGAUAUUUCUUUGAGGAAAAUGUAGCAUUGUCUCUUUUACCCAAUCACAUACCUUUGGAAGGAAAAAAAGGCAACCCUCUACCUGUAGAUCCUUAAGCCUGAGCCCUAACCAGCUGCAGAGCUGGCUCAGAGAACCCUUCGUUACAUAAAGCUUCUGCCCCUGACUGAGGGAUGAACACAGCACCUCCUCACCGGCAGUUAGCUGCUGCCCCUCAGAUUCCCAAAGCCUGCCCUUGGGAUUCAGGGUCAGGCCCAGGCUCAGCCCCAAUUGCCCUUGUGUGAGAGAUUACUCAGUUUCAGAUCUCUGAAAUUCUCUGGGUUUCCCGGUGGAUGGGGAGCUCUCUUCAUUCUUGCUAUUCCUCAGCUUCCACGUUCCUUCACAACGGCCACUUUAAAAAGUCUUUUCUCUGCUGCUUCUUUCCCAGAUUCAGGCUUUUCCUACUACAGCCUCCUCAAAGUUAUUUCUGCUUGCUCCAGUAGGGGAGCUAGGCAGCUGCUCUGAGUUUUGCCGUCUGGGCUUAGAACAGCUUGAAGUUAGCACAAAGGCGAAUGAAGCUUUAAAUCUCCAGCACUUAACAGCUUCUCUGCAGCCUCAGAGGAUCCUCAAACAACGCUGCAACCUAGGGAGAAAAGGAAAUGUGAUAUUCAUUGAGAUUCCUCAUGUCCCAGGGGAGAACCGAGUGCCCAGCCAACAGCCAGCACCAACCACUGCACCUGGGACUGAGUCCAUCUUGCCCUUCCAGCUCUGUUGACCUCCCAGGGGACUGCAGCAACAGGACUGAGCCCAGCUGAGCCCAGCAGAGGAAACGCCCAGCUGAUCCACGAAUCAUGAGGCAUAAUCAAUUGUUUUACAAUACUAAAAUUUAUAUGUAAUCAAAUAAAAAUAUAUGUUGGUGAAGUGAUAUUGCAAAAGGUUAACAAUUGUAUUUAAAUGGUGGAUAUAUGAUUAUUGUGCUAUUUCUAUUUUCUGUGUGUUUGAAAAAUUUAAAAUGAAAAGUUAAAAUAGGCAAAAAAAAAAAAAAAAAAAAAAAGAAUGGUCUAUCCCUAGGCAAAAACUCAUUUGUCAGUAUAUAAUUCAUUUAUCCUAUGGGUUCCUAUGCUGGAGUAGGGAUGGGCAAAAAUAAAAUAAAAAGAAGAGAACAUAGGGGAAGAGAUUAAAAAGCAAGUUGGAAGACUAUACCAUUCAUUCAAUU